ACAUGCAAGUAGAACGCUGAAGGAGGAGCUGCUUCUCUGGAUGAGUUGCGAACGGGUGAGUAACGCGUAGGUAACCUGCCUGGUAGCGGGGGAUAACUAUUGGAAACGAUAGCUAAUACCGCAUAACAGUAGAUGUUGCAUGACAUUUGCUUAAAAGGUGCAAUUGCAUCACUACCAGAUGGACCUGCGUUGUAUUAGCUAGUUGGUGGGGUAACGGCUCACCAAGGCGACGAUACAUAGCCGACCUGAGAGGGUGAUCGGCCACACUGGGACUGAGACACGGCCCAGACUCCUACGGGAGGCAGCAGUAGGGAAUCUUCGGCAAUGGACGGAAGUCUGACCGAGCAACGCCGCGUGAGUGAAGAAGGUUUUCGGAUCGUAAAGCUCUGUUGUAAGAGAAGAACGAGUGUGAGAGUGGAAAGUUCACACUGUGACGGUAUCUUACCAGAAAGGGACGGCUAACUACGUGCCAGCAGCCGCGGUAAUACGUAGGUCCCGAGCGUUGUCCGGAUUUAUUGGGCGUAAAGCGAGCGCAGGCGGUUAGAUAAGUCUGAAGUUAAAGGCUGUGGCUUAACCAUAGUACGCUUUGGAAACUGUUUAACUUGAGUGCUAGAGGGGAGAGUUGAAUUCCAUGUGUAGCGGUGAAAUGCGUAGAUAUAUGGAGGAACACCAGUGGCGAA
rnacentral:rRNA from 1 species